rnacentral:rRNA from 1 species
UGGGGAAUUUUGGACAAUGGGCGCAAGCCUGAUCCAGCAAUGCCGCGUGCAGGAUGAAGGCCUUCGGGUUGUAAACUGCUUUUGUACGGAACGAAACGGUCUUUUCUAAUACAGAAGGCUAAUGACGGUACCGUAAGAAUAAGCACCGGCUAACUACGUGCCAGCAGCCGCGGUAAUACGAAGGGUGCAAACGUUGCUCGGAAUUAUUGGGCGUAAAGCGCACGUAGGCGGCUUGACAAGUCGGAUGUGAAAUCCCUCGGCUCAACCAAGGAAGUGCAUCCGAAACUGUCGAGCUAGAGUACGGCAGAGGGGGAUGGAAUUCCGCGUGUAGCAGUGAAAUGCGUAGAUAUGCGGAGGAACACCGAUGGCGAAGGCAAUCCCCUGGGCCUGUACUGACGCUCAUGCACGAAAGCGUGGGGAGCAAACA